rnacentral:rRNA from 1 species
AGUUUGAUCCUGGCUCAGAUUGAACGCUGGCGGCAUGCCUUACACAUGCAAGUCGAACGGUAACAGGUCUUCGGAUGCUGACGAGUGGCGAACGGGUGAGUAAUACAUCGGAACGUGCCUAGUAGUGGGGGAUAACUACUCGAAAGAGUGGCUAAUACCGCAUGAGAUCUACGGAUGAAAGCAGGGGAUCGCAAGACCUUGUGCUACUAGAGCGGCCGAUGGCAGAUUAGGUAGUUGGUGGGAUAAAAGCUUACCAAGCCGACGAUCUGUAGCUGGUCUGAGAGGACGAUCAGCCACACUGGGACUGAGACACGGCCCAGACUCCUACGGGAGGCAGCAGUGGGGAAUUUUGGACAAUGGGCGCAAGCCUGAUCCAGCAAUGCCGCGUGCAGGAUGAAGGCCUUCGGGUUGUAAACUGCUUUUGUACGGAACGAAAAGCCCUGGGUUAAUACCCUGGGGUCAUGACGGUACCGUAAGAAUAAGCACCGGCUA